UGGUGAGGAUUAGAUGUUGUGAUGUGAAGUUUGGAGUGGACCAUAUGGCAAUUAAGGUGCUGUCCAGCAAGACGGAUCAAUAUCGCCAAGGUGAUGAAGUCGUGAUAGCUCGAGCGGAUUCCCCUCAUACAUGUCCAGUUGCUAGGUUGGAGCAAUACUAUAGUAUGGCAGGGAUUAAUCACUUCAGCACUGAACGCCUAUUCCGGGCUAUUGUAAAGACAAAAGAAGGCGAGAAACUACGUACUUCGGGGUCAAUCAGCUACACCCGAGUGAGGGAAAUUUUGUUGGAGAAGUUGCGUUCCUUGGGGUAUGAGCCAUCGGAGUUUGGAACACACAGUUUUCGAGCUGGAGGAGCUACUACAGCAGCUAAUCAAGGUGUUCCCGACCGUUUGUUCAAGAGGCAUGGCCGAUGGAAAUCUGAGACAGCUAAAGACGGGUACAUUAAAGACAGCCUUGAGGCCAGACUGGAAGUUUCUAAAAAAUUACAAAUAUGAGUUAGGGGAUAGCUGAAUGCUGUAUACAAGAAAAAGAGCUACAGUCUACAAGGAUAUACUGUCUAAACUAUAAUUGUUAUUAUUAAUGUUUUUUUGUUGUGUACUUUUCUCGGUUAAUUUAUAGGUCAAGUUUCUGUGUUGUGUUGAUGUUUGUUGUUCUCAGAGCCAGAGGAUGUGGUCAAGGUUUUUU